rnacentral:rRNA from 1 species
GGCGAUUGGGGGAGGCUACCAUGCAGUCGAGCGGUAACAGAUCCAGCUUGGUGGAUGCUGACAAGCGGCGGACGGGUGAGUAAUGCAUAUGAAUCUGCCCGAUAGUGGGGGAUACCCUGGGGAAACCCUGGGUAAUACCGCGUACGUCCUACGGGAGAAAGGGGGGUGCGGCUCCCGCUAUCGGAUGAGCCUAUGUCGGAUUACCUAAUUGGUGAGGUGACGGGUCACCAGGGCCACGAUCCGAAGAUGGUCUGAGAGGAUGAUCAGCCACAUCGGGACUGAGCACGGCCCGAACUCCUACAGGAGGCAGCAAUGGGGAAUAUUGGACAAUGGGGGGAACCCUGAUCCAGCCAUGCCGCGUGUGUGAAUAAGGCCCUCGGCCUGUAAAGCACUUUCAGCGAGGAAGAACGCCUAACGGUUAAUACCCGCUAGGAAAGACAUCACUCCCAGAAGAAGCACCGACUAACUCCGUGCCACCAGCCGCGGUAAUACGGAGGGUGCAAGCGUUAAUCGGAAUUACUGGGCGUAAAGCGCGCGUACGUGGCUUGAUAAGCCGGUUGUGAAAACCCCGGGCUCAACCUGGGAACGGCAUCCGGAACUGUGAGCUAGAGUGCAAGAGAGGAAGGUAGAAUUCCCGGUGUAGCGGUGAAAUGCGUAGAGAUCGGGAGGAAUACCAGUGGCGAAGGCGGCCUUCUGGACUGACGCUGACACUGAGGUGCUAAAGCGUGAGUAGCAGACAAGAUUACAUACCUUUGGUACUCAAAG